rnacentral:rRNA from 1 species
UACGUAGGGUGCUAGCGUUGUUCGGAAUCAUUGGGCGUAAAGCGCGUGUAGGUGGCUGUAUAAGUCGAAUGUGAAAUCCCUGGGCUCAACCGAGGAAGUGCAUUCGAUACUGUAUAGCUCGAGGACGGUAGAGGAAGGUGGAAUUCCAAAAGUAGAGGUGAAAUUCGUAGAUAUUUGGAGGAAUACCGGCGGCGAAGGCGGCCUUCUGGGCCGUUCCUGACACUGAGACGCGAAAGCGUGGGUAGCAAACAGG